rnacentral:rRNA from 1 species
UUUGAGGNCUUACAGAAUGAAAAGUGCUUAACUGCAUUUUUUCUUACACAUGUGUUUUUCUCUUUUUGAAAACUUUGCUUUGGUAGGCCUUCUAUAUGGGGCCUGCCAGAGAUUAAACUCAACCAAAUUUUAUUUAAUGUCAACCGAUUAUUUAAUAGUCAAAACUUUCAACAACGGAUCUCUUGGUUCUCGCAUCGAUGAAGAACGCAGCGAAAUGCGAUAAGUAAUAUGAAUUGCAGAUAUUCGUGAAUCAUCGAAUCUUUGAACGCACAUUGCGCCCUUUGGUAUUCCAAAGGGCAUGCCUGUUUGAGCGUCAUUUCUCCCUCAAACCCUCGGGUUUGGUGUUGAGCGAUACGCUGGGUUUGCUUGAAAGAAAGGCGGAGUAUAAACUAAUGGAUAGGUUUUUUCCACUCAUUGGUACAAACUCCAAAACUUCUUCCAAAUUCGACCUCAAAUCAGGUAGGACUACCCGCUGAACUUAAGCAUAUCAAUAAGCGGAGGAA